rnacentral:rRNA from 1 species
AACAGGAUUAGAUACCCUGGUAGUCCACGCUGUAAACGAUGUCGACUUGGAGGUUGUGCCCUUGAGGCGUGGCUUCCGGAGCUAACGCGUUAAGUCGACCGCCUGGGGAGUACGGCCGCAAGGUUAAAACUCAAAUGAAUUGACGGGGGCCCGCACAAGCGGUGGAGCAUGUGGUUUAAUUCGAUGCAACGCGAAGAACCUUACCUACUCUUGACAUCCAGAGAAUUUGCUAGAGAUAGCUUAGUGCCUUCGGGAACUCUGAGACAGGUGCUGCAUGGCUGUCGUCAGCUCGUGUUGUGAAAUGUUGGGUUAAGUCCCGCAACGAGCGCAACCCUUAUCCUUUGUUGCCAGCGAGUAAUGUCGGGAACUCAAAGGAGACUGCCGGUGAUAAACCGGAGGAAGGUGGGGAUGACGUCAAGUCAUCAUGGCCCUUACGAGUAGGGCUACACACGUGCUACAAUGGCAUAUACAAAGAGAAGCGAACUCGCGAGAGCAAGCGGACCUCAUAAAGUAUGUCGUAGUCCGGAUUGGAGUCUGCAACUCGACUCCAUGAAGUCGGAAUCGCUAGUAAUCGUAGAUCAGAAUGCUACGGUGAAUACGUUCCCGGGCCUUGUACACACCGCCCGUCACACCAUGGGAGUGGGUUGCAAAAGAAGUAGGUAGCUUAACCCUCGGGAGGGCGCUUACCACUUUGUGAUUCAUGACUGGGGUGAAGUCGUAACAAGGUAACC